UACGUAGGGGCCUAGCGUUGUCCGGAAUUAUUGGGCGUAAAGAGCGCGUAGGCGGUCCGAUAAGUCGGCUGUGAAAGUCAGGGGCUCAACCCUUGAAAGCCGGCCGAUACUGUCGGACUAGAGUCCGGAAGAGGCGAGUGGAAUUCCUGGUGUAGCGGUGAAAUGCGCAGAUAUCAGGAGGAACACCAAUGGCGAAGGCAGCUCGCUGGGACGUGACUGACGCUGAGACGCGAAAGCGUGGGGAGCAAACAGG
rnacentral:rRNA from 1 species